UGUUAGUACUCUAUAAUACUGUAAUUCUUAAGAAUUUGGUCAGGAUUGGAAAAUAGCAGCCAUAUUAAGACAGUACAGGUAUUACGAAUAUUACUAACAGAGA
rnacentral:SRP_RNA from 17 species